rnacentral:tRNA from 1 species
GGAGAGAUACCCAAGUGGCUGAAGGGGCGGGUUUGCUAAACCUGUAGAGUGGUUUCUACUGCUGCGAGGGUUCGAAUCCCUCUCUCUCCG